UACGAAGGAUCCUAGCGUUGUCCGGAUUUACUGGGUUUAAAGGGUGCGUAGGUGGACUAUUAAGUCAGUGGUGAAAGCUUGCAGCUUAACUGUAAAAUUGCCAUUGAAACUGAUAGUCUCGAGUACGGUUGAGGUCACUGGAAUGUAUCAUGUAGCGGUGAAAUGCUUAGAUAUGAUACAGAACACCAAUUGCGAAGCAGGUGACUAAACCGUAACUGACACUGAGGCACGAAAAGCGUGGGAUCGGAACAAGAGUAGUAAAC
rnacentral:rRNA from 1 species